UCACACACACACACACUACUUUCGAUUUCUAAUUUACGCCGUUUGGCAUUGCAUAUACAUAGCCACCAUCUAUAAGACUAUAAAUGCUCUACACAUGACAUGAAAGUUCAUGAUUUCUUGCUAGUCGGAAAUUCCCAUCUAAUCGGCUUCACAUUACCUACGCAUUUAUAUUUACAAGUAUAAUUUAUUACAGGGAGAAUCAGAAGGAUCGAAAAUGGAGGAUAAGAGGUUUAUGAGUUUAUCAUAGAAGUGGAGCCCGCUAAGCAAGCCAAUCAUGGAAACCCGUGGAUUGGACCCGCUUAUCACUGCGUUUUCGCCAAGGAUGGAUUUCCGGCGCCGAUUCCUGGUCUCGAUAGCUUCUGGGAUGUUUUAUGUUAACGGAAUUUUCAAUUGAUUACACGAUUUAUUUAUUUUCAACUUCGAAGUUUAUUCAUAGGGAUUCAUUAUACGUGCAUGAGUUGAAUCUCUGAUGAUUUGAUGAAGUUUUUGCCUUUGUGUUUAUGCUGGUAUUUAUUUAUUGUAACUUAUGCACCGAUAUUAACUGAUUUACGUUAUGGAAAUUGAAAGCAUUACGAUUUAUGUGAUCGAACUGUAUCGUUAUAGAAGAUUUAAUAAUCAAAGCAUUAACCUUUCUGUUUUUGUUUGGUAUUGGCGACACAAACAUUGCGAUUACUCUGUUUGAUGUAUUUGUAUCGCACACACGAUAUUGUGUAUACUUGUGUUAUGGUUGGAGCUCAACUUCAACCGAAACCAACUAAAUUCAACUCCAAAUAACACACAAUUGAAAGACAUCAGCUGUGAAUCAAUAACCCAAGAUGUAAUUCUAUUAAUUGAGACGAAAUUACAAUGUAAUGCUGAAAUGUAAACAGAAAGGAUAAGGGGAAAUGCAGAAAAUCGGAGAAGCAAGGGAGAAGGGAAAGAUUAAGAGAAUUAAGAAGAAUUACAAUAAUAGUAAAGAAGAAGAAUUUUUUCAGAUUUAGAGAUAAAGAAGCAGAGAUCGAGAUUUAGAAAAGGAAUAGAGAAAGUGACUAGAGAAAGGGGGAUGGAAAAUUCUAUUUUGCCUAAGGCUAACAAUCUUCCAAAUCUGAUUUCAUCCUCCCUAUGUGCUGAUUUUAUAGAGUCACAGAACGUUCUAGAAUGUAGAGUCAUGACAUCCCUUUCCCUUAAAUUAACCUUGUCCUCAAGGUUUAAGGUCUAAAUGUCUUCUUUGUAUGAAGUUAGCAUCUGCCUCAUUCUCUUAACCACCCUUGGAUUAAGCAGGUAGUGCAAGGUGACAUAAGCUUGGUUGACAUUAUUUUCCCCACCUUCAACCAGCAUGCCCAACAACCCUUGGAUGGCGGUUGCCCCAACUAUGAUAAAUUGAAAUAGAGAAAAGUUUAAGGGGAAGCAGUCUACAUCAAAUGCUUCAAUAAAAUCCUUCCCCGUAAGAUGGUUGCCAGCAAGAUCUACAAAGCUCUUGAAAGCAGAUAGUUCCAGCUAGAUCUCGAUGGCAGAGUUGCAGCCCACUCUCUCUAUUCUCUCUAUUUCCUGGGAAAUGAGAGUGGACACUUGGACAUUUAAGAGCCCACUCUGUGAACUUCUGGACCUUGGCACCAGCUUUUGCCUUCUUCACUUCAUUUCCAUUGCAUUCCAGUAGUCGUUCAAGUGGAGCUUCUUUGGAAAAAACCAAAUUUCCAUUGCUUUCGCUAGCGUUUGAUUAUCCGAGUGACUGCACUAUCCAAGCUUGAUGAGAGUGUGUUCAUUGGAAAAAUUAAUAAUAGACACUACGAGCUUUCACCAUCAUCACCCACUUUCCCACUUCUUCCCCAGUAUGUCCUGCAGUUAUAUCCGUAUUAGUAACAUUGCCAUUCAAUUGUUUAUAAUCACUACCGAAAACUAGUACAUUCUCUGCACUGGGGUUUUCUUCAUCCUUCUCAACACCUAAGCCAGAUUCCAACUUCUCAAAACUAGUCAUUCAACAGUCUCAGCCUCAACAACUUGCUUGGUAAUUACACGACCCGAAUCAUCAUCUCUGUUCAUAUCAGAUGAACUAACCUGCUUGACCAGGUACUCUUCUAGUUUAGAACCUAAACCGCCAAUUUGCACGUCAGAAGCCUUGGCCAUUUCUGCUGAAGAACUAUAACGGUUGGACUGAUAUUUAGAUGCUGAUUUUUCAUUUGCUCCACCACUAAUGUUGAACUCAUGUUGUUCCUCUUUGGAGGUUGACUGAUCCUCAAUCAUUUUAGUCAAUAUCGAAAUCAUCAUCUCAUGAUUUCUAUUAAAUUUUUACAUUAUGCCAUCCAAUCGAGCGACAACCAAGGAUUGUAGCAACUCUGAUACCAUUUGUGAUGGUUGGAGCUCAACUUCAACCAAAACCAACUAAAUUCAACUCCAAGUAAAACACAAUUGAAAGAAAUCAGCUGGGAAUCAAUAACCUAAGCUGUAGUUCUAUUAAUUGAGAUGAAAAUACAAUGAAAUACUGAAAUGUAAACAGAAUGAAGAAGGGAAAAUUCAGAAAAUUGAAGAAGAAAGGUAGGAGGGAAAGAUUAAGAAAAGUAAGAAAAAUUUCAGAUUUAGAGAUAAAGAAGCAGAGAUAGAGAUUUAGAAAAGGGAUGGAGAAAGUGACUAGAGAGGGGGGUGGGAAAUUCUAUUUUGCCAAAGGCUAACAAUCUUCCAAAUCUGGUUUUCAUCCUCCCCAUGUGCUGAUUUUAUAGAGUCACAGAACGUUCUAGAAUGUAGAGUCAUGAUGUCCCUUCCCUUAAAUUAACCUUGUCUUCAAGGUUCAAGGUCUGGAUAUCUUCUUUGUAUGAAGUUAGCAAUUGCCUCAUUCUCUUCACCACCCUUAAAUUAAGCAGGUAAUGCAAGGUGACAUAUACUUGGUUGACAUUAUUUUCCCCACCUUCAACCAACAUGCCCAACAACCCUUGGAUGGUGGUUGUCGAUAUACCAGAAGCCCAACCAUGAUCAAUUGAGCUAGAGAAGAGUGUAAGAGGGAAGCAUUCUACAACAAAUGUUUCAGUAAAAUCCUUCCCUGUAAGAUGGUUGCCAGCAAGAUCUACAAAGGUCUUGAAAACAGAAUGUAAACAGAAAAGAGAAAUUGAAAUAUAGAGGAAGUUUGUCAGUGGAGAAAUAUCCCAAUAACCGAAUGCCGGGUCAUCGUGAGAUCAUCAAUAAAAAUGUAUAUUUUAAACGAAACAAUUGUUUCAUUCCUUCAUGUCUGAAACUUACGCAUGUACUUUUUCUGUUUGUUCAUAUAUUUUUUUUCAACUUUUACUUUACUCCAUUAUUUGAUUCUUGUACUCCCAUCCUGGUAAAUAUGUAUGGAUGACAUACAAAGAAGUAUAUGACUUGGUGAUGAAA